UGAAUACAGGAAAAAAGAAGGCAGGUCAGAGAGAUGCCAGCAGCUGUCGGAGAAGCAAGAUGUGAGCAGGCGAGGCAGAAUCCAGGGCACAGAGCAUCAAGAGAAAUACAAGCACUUUGGAAACAUGAAUAAGAAGGCAACGAAGAAACCACUUCCAUAGAUGAUGGGUCUGGCUGUUUCUUCUGGGUGCUCAUCUGAAACUCGUCCUGUUACUGGAAUCCGUCGCCCAUAAAGGACGGGAUGAACAGUCCUUCUGGAUGCUCCUGAGCACUUUCCCAACAGUGUCUGGCUCGUUCUGUGCCCACACAGCGUUUUCACCACAUUUGUUCUGUUUCACUUUAUCCACCUUGAUGUGUGAACUCUGGCUCACGACGCAAUCCCUAGCUGCAUAUCUGCUGUAGGCAAAGUCCCUCUGCAGUGUCCCCCACAAGAAGGACAGAGCUAGCUCAAAUAGCAAGGGGAGGUUUCAAGGACAUCAGUGGUUGGAGACAGUGAGAAGCAUGGGGUGUGUCUGCUGAGCAUCAGCUCUAUGUAGUGGCAAAGGAACUAAUUAAUCAUCUUCUCACCAAGCUGAACUCUGAUUUGCUAGUUUCCUCUUCGAGUUUGUUUCGUAGUAUGCUAUCAGCCAAGUUAGUCAAAUAUUGCAGUUCCUUUCUAAAUAUUCCAGCAGCCAGAUGGCAGCAGCAUGUCUACGAGAAGGCACAAUUCACUAGGAGAUAACUUGGUGACAGGCUUGCUGCUGAGGGGACCCACCCAGAAGUGCCUUGGUAGCCCUGCUCAGUGGUCUCUACCACUAAACCUCACAGUCCCAAGAAGACAAACCUUUCAAUGUGCAGUCAGGAACUUGUUGUAAAACAAGAAAAGUUUCUAUGUCUCUAAGCCUGGGACUUAGAACAAACAUAUAAGGUCACUAAAUCACACAUCCGGGACAAAUUUCUUUUCUUAUUUUCUUCUUUUGAGAAAGGGUUUCUCUGUGGCUUUGGAGGCUGUCCUGGAACUAGCUCUACUAGACCAGGCUGGUCUCGAACUCACAGAGAUCUGCCUGUCUCUGCCUCCCGAGUGCUGGGAUUAAAGGCCUGCGCCACCACUGCCCAGCCGGAACAAAUAUCUUAGGACUUUGUUCUUUUUAAAAUGUGAUUGUGUCCUGAAAAUUUAUCACAUGUGCAGGA
rnacentral:lncRNA from 1 species